GGGGAAUAUUGCGCAAUGGAGAAGAACUCUGACGCAGCAAUACCGCGUGAGCGAAGAAGGUCUUCGGAUCGUAAAGCUCUGUUAUCAGGGAAGAAGAAAAUGACGGUACCUGAUGAGCAAGUCCCGGCUAACUACGUGCCAGCAGCCGCGGUAAUACGUAGGGGACAAGCGUUGUCCGGAAUCACUGGGCGUAAAGGGCGCGUAGGCGGUAUAUUAAGUCAGGUGUGAAAGUUUUCGGCUCAACCGGAAAAGUGCACUUGAAACUAAUUUACUUGAGUACUGGAGAGGUAAGCGGAAUUCCUAGUGUAGCGGUGAAAUGCGUAGAUAUUAGGAAGAACACCGGUGGCGAAGGCGGCUUACUGGACAGAGACUGACGCUGAGGCGCGAAAGCGUGGGGAGCAAACA
rnacentral:rRNA from 1 species